UCUAUACUGUGCUCGAAAAUCAUGAUAAUCCAACGGUUAAUUCAUUCUCAAUCAAGUUUCUACUCAGAUUGGGUCAUCUUUCUCCAUCGACUUCGAGUUAAUUCCAUGAAGUUUACAUUUCCAUCUUGAGUUCACAAAAUUGAUUUUACAAUUGGUAAGAUUUGCCUCAAUCUGUUGAAUUCCAUCUUUCCUAGUUCAAUUUUCAUAUAGAAUCUUAUAUUCAUUAAGUCUUGUGAUACUUAAACUUACCAUUUGCCCCCGUUAUGACUCGGUCUUUCCCUUUAUCUGAUAUCAAAACCUUGUUAUAUUGGCUUAUUCAUACUCAAAAGUUCAUUCAUAUCAGCACCUGACCUUCUGGACUUUUACUUAUCAAAUCCAUAGGGCUCUUGAUUGUGUUUAUGCUGAGAUUUUAGUUCAUAAACCUAGACAUGUCAAGAAUCCAUCACCAACUGGUUUGAUGUCAAUCGGAGUCGAAAUGAAUUUUUGACAAAUUUUCUAAGUUGAUAGAAUGUUGCUGGAAUUUUUAAGAAAACUGCACAGUUCAGUCUGUCUUCGUCCAUCUUUUCCCAUACUUUCUGAACUCCAUUUUUCUUGAAAUUUUAAUAUGUUGUACCUUAACAUGUCAACUUAGGAUCUGAAAAGUUUCAAGUUCAUUGCUCUUAAAAUGAAUUUUUACUACUUUUCUAAACUUGAGCUGUGCCAACUCUUAUAUAUCUCUUUAUCAUGUGUCCUACUUUGAUAGUCCUUGAUUCUGUUGAAUCAAUUUCCAAUGGUUCAGGACUAUUUGGCUUUCCAUAUGAGAACCUUUAAAUUCUAGAUAUAGAUAGUGCUACAUAUUAGAAGCAGAAAUAGAAUUUCGACACCGAGUUAUGGAUUUAUAGAAAAUGGAUCAUGGGAAUGAUAGUUUGCGACCUUUAUUAUUAGGAAUGGGGACAUGCAGUGGACUUCGAUCACCAAAGGAACAAUGAUAGAGGUGGUGGCUAGUUCGUCGAUAUGUUUUCCAUUGCCAAGCUAUCAAGCUACUUCAUAUUUGAUUCCAGUUGGUCUUGCAGGUACUGUGCACGAGGAUUGAGGAGAAUUUUGGGACUGAGCUGGGUGCUACAUUUUUCUUUAACUAUUCAGUAUAUUUACCUACACAUUUUUUUCACCUCUGCUUAAUUGUUAUUGUUUGAUAGAGGUGAGUGUUAUCUCGUUUUUGUCGAUGUUUGCUGAGCUUUUUAACUUCGUAUUCAAAUGGUUUGAACCAAACUAGAAUUUAUUUUCAAUGUUGUAAGUUGUUGAUUCAGGUUUGUUUCACUUAAGUAGUUAUGUUUGGAAAACACUCAAUUGUUUAGUUAUAAUGUCAUUUUAACAAGUAAGAAUAAAGUUUUCAAUUUCACCUCGCUUUAAA